rnacentral:rRNA from 1 species
CUGGCGGCGUGCCUAACACAUGCAAGUCGAACGAGAAAGUGGAGCAAUCCAUGAGUAAAGUGGCGACCGGGUGAGUAACACGUGACUAACCUACCCUCGAGUGGGGAAUAACUCCGGGAAACCGGGGCUAAUACCGCAUAACAUCGCAAGAUCAAAGCAGCAAUGCGCUUGAGGAGGGGGUCGCGGCUGAUUAGCUAGUUGGCGGGGUAACGGCCCACCAAGGCGAAGAUCGGUAUCCGGCCUGAGAGGGCGCACGGACACACUGGAACUGAAACACGGUCCAGACUCCUACGGGAGGCAGCAGUGGGGAAUUUUGCGCAAUGGGGGAAACCCUGACGCAGCAACGCCGCGUGGAGGAUGAAGCCCUUUGGGGCGUAAACUCCUUUCGACUCGGACGAUGAUGACGGUACGAGUGGAAGAAGCACCGGCUAACUCUGUGCCAGCAGCCGCGGUAAUACAGAGGGUGCGAGCGUUGUUCGGAAUUAUUGGGCGUAAAGGGCGCGUANGCGGUGCGGUAAGUCACCUGUGAAAUCUCCUGGCUUAACUGGGAGCCUGCAGGCGAAACUACCGUGCUGGAGUGUGGGAGAGGUGCGUGGAAUUCCCGGUGUAGCGGUGAAAUGCG